GUCUACGGCCAUGCCACCCUGAACAUGCCCGAUCUCAUCUGAUCUCAGAAGCUAAGCAAGGUCGGGCCCGGUUAGUACUUGGACAAGAAGACCCUUAGUAAUACCAGGUGCUGUAGGCA
rnacentral:rRNA from 1 species